GAGUCUGACUGGUGUUACAUGGUAUCUCAUUGUAGCUGUGAUUCGCAUUUCUCUAGUGAUUCAUGCUGUUGAUCAUUUUUCCUGUUUUUUGGCUAUUUACCUCCCACAGCAAUUUCUCAACAUCUCUAAACUUACAGGAGGAUCAUAAUCACCUUGUGGUUCAUAUGAAACAUGCAUUUUGUUCCAGCCAAUGGGUUGUGAGAAGUGAGGAGACAGGAAGGAAAAAUGCAACUUUGUAUCCUAUGUUGGAUCUUGGAUUGAAAGAACACUAAUGAAAAACCUAGUGAAAUUCAAAUAAAGUCUGUGAUUUAAAAAGGAAAGGAAUCCCUCCCAGUGCUGCAUCACUUGACCGUGGGCUCCAGAUACCACAAGGCUGCGAUCAACGUGGCGUCCAGGCUGCAUUCCCACAUUGAGACGCAACCAGGGAAAGCUCCUGUAUCAAUACCUCAGAAUAUGACUGCAUUUGGAGAUAAAGAGAAAAUUAAGUUAAAACGAUGAGAUCCUUAGAGUGGGCCCAAAUCCAACAGAACUGGCGUCCUUCCAAGAAGAGGAAUUAGGAGGCACAGAUCUUGUGAAGACACAGGAAGAAGACAACCAUCUACCAGCCAAGGAGAGAGGACCCAGAAGAAACCAACUCUGCCAAAACCUUGACCUUCUGGAACCCAGCAUUGUUUAUACUUCCAGUGGUGAAAUUUGGAUUAAUUGAACAGCAAGGAAAAGAGGCCACUAACUUACUAACGCAGCCUUCUGGAAAAUCCCGUUGCUAAUGAAAAGCCUGCUGUGAUCAGGAUCCCAUAGACUGAGGACCAUCCUGCUAGGACUGCAAAUGUACUCUCUCACCUGACUACACUGAUUCUGCUCCAUCCUUUAAUUACUACUUGCUAGGUUGUUUUUUUAUCAGAGAAAAAUACAAAGUUGAAAUAUAAAGAGAAGUAUUAAAGAAAAGUAGUCAUGAAUUGUGUGGAAUUUUAUAACAUGUGGUAUAAUAGUUUACAUAACCAUACUGACAUAAUUUUUUAAUUGUUCUAAUUAUUUUAAUUGUUUGAGGCAAAUAUACAUAUUGCAAAGGCACCACAGACUCCUUGUGAACAAACAAGAAAUAUAAAAACUUGAGAAAUAUAGAAACAAAAAAUAUACAAACGAAAUAUAAAAAGAGAACUAUUAUAAAAAUAGAACUCUGGUAAUAUGUUAUUCACCGUUUUUGAUACUUUAUUUUUACGUGAAAAUGUCUCAAAACUGUAUUUUAGCAAGUAUACAGAAAGAGAACAGAGAUUGUUUAAAUGAAAACGUGCCCACCACCCUAAUUGGAAUGAUUAUAUUAUCUUCUUCAUACACAUGUAUGCAUGCAUAGAUUAAAUAAAAUAAUAUGGAGAAUCAGUUUUCAUCUCCUUUCUCCUCUGAUGUAACUAUUAAAAUGUUUUCCUAUGUGUAAAUCUAUUUCAUAUGUCUAUUAUUUCAGUGAAAACAUACCUGAAAAUAUUUUAAGCAAUGAUUAUAGCACUACUCUGUCUUAGUUGUAAUGGUUUUAUAGAAAUUCUAUUUUUUAAAUUUAUUAUUUAAACCAAGCAAUGUUUUUUAAAGUAUAUAUUUAAAUUGCCAAUAUAUUUUACCUAUUACCAGACUAUUUUUGUUUCUGUUAUUCUACUUGUUUCUUCCAAGAGAACAAAAUGUUUAUGCAGCUUUCUCAAUGAGGGUCCAAAAAUACUAAAUUCUGUCAGUCUUUAUUUCUCUAAAAAUUUAUAUAUUUUUCAUUAUAAAUUUUAACAGGUGUAUAUAGAAUUCUAUCUUCUUGUGACAUCUAUUUUAUGAUGAUAAGUUUAAUGACAAUUUAUCACUUCUCUGUCAGUUGUCUCUAUAUUAUCUCUGGUAAUUUUAAAGGGUUUUUUGUUCAUUAUUAUCAAUAAAUUGGAAUAGGUAUGGAUAUGUUUUUAUUUAUUGCUUACAUUAUCUUGAGUGUAUUGUCAUAAUGAGGAUUAAUGUCCUUUUUGAUUUUGAAACAUUCUUAGCCAAUAUCAAGAUUUUGCAUAUUAUUCUAGUAAUUUG
rnacentral:lncRNA from 10 species